AGAGCCCUGGGAGCUGUCGUCACUCUCCUGCUCUGGGGUCAGCUUUUUGCUGUGGAAUUGGGCAAUGAUGCCACAGACAUUGAAGAUGACAGCUGCCCAAAGCCCCCAGAGAUUGCAAACGGCUAUGUGGAACACUUGGUUCGUUAUCGCUGCCGACAGUUCUACAAACUACAGACCGAAGGAGAUGGAAUCUACACCUUAAACAGUGAGAAGCAAUGGGUGAACCCAGCUGCUGGCGAUAAACUCCCCAAGUGUGAGG
rnacentral:lncRNA from 1 species